GAGUCGGCAGCGCGAGCUCCCAGCCAGACCUAGCGCCUCUGGGCUGUGCUCCUGUUGCUUCCCGCAAACCGCGGUCCUGGCGAGGCCUGGGCGUGGAGCGCGGCUGCCGCAGACUCCCUGGGAAGACAUGGAGUCAGGGUGCUUAGGGGUUUUUAGGCUCCUGCUCGCCUAGUGGCUGGCUUUCUCCCGGCUGAGAAGCGUCUCUGGGUUCCCAGAAAGGUAGGUUUCUCUGGCACCGAUUCGGGGCCUGCCCGGACUUCGCCGCACGCUGCAGAACCUCGCCCAGCGCCCACCAUGCCCCGGCAGCUCAGCGCGGCGGCCGCGCUCUUCGCGUCCCUGGCCGUACAGGGCUCAUCAGCACAUGGUAAUUAACAAUGAUGGACAUGGCUUCCUGGCACUCUCUGCAUGCCAGGCACUGUUCGCAGUGCUUUAAUCCACAAAACAGCUUUGGAGAAGAGGAGAGUGGGAA
rnacentral:lncRNA from 10 species